rnacentral:rRNA from 1 species
CGCGGUAAUACGUAGGGCGCAAGCGUUAUCCGGAAUUAUUGGGCGUAAAGAGCUCGUAGGCGGUUUGUCGCGUCUGCCGUGAAAGUCCGGGGCUCAACUCCGGAUCUGCGGUGGGUACGGGCAGACUAGAGUGAUGUAGGGGAGACUGGAAUUCCUGGUGUAGCGGUGAAAUGCGCAGAUAUCAGGAGGAACACCGAUGGCGAAGGCAGGUCUCUGGGCAUUAACUGACGCUGAGGAGCGAAAGCAUGGGGAGCGAACAGGAUUAGAUAC